GGCCUCGUAGCUCAACUGAAUAGAGCAUCUGACUACGGAUCAGAAGGUUUCAAGUUUGAAUCUUGACGAGGUCA
rnacentral:tRNA from 1 species